rnacentral:rRNA from 1 species
GACGAACGCUGGCGGCGUGCCUAAUACAUGCAAGUAGAACGCUGAAGAGAGGAGCUUGCUCUUCUUGGAUGAGUUGCGAACGGGUGAGUAACGCGUAGGUAACCUGCCUUGUAGCGGGGGAUAACUAUUGGAAACGAUAGCUAAUACCGCAUAACAAUGGAUGACACAUGUCAUUUAUUUGAAAGGGGCAAUUGCUCCACUACAAGAUGGACCUGCGUUGUAUUAGCUAGUAGGUGAGGUAAUGGCUCACCUAGGCGACGAUACAUAGCCGACCUGAGAGGGUGAUCGGCCACACUGGGACUGGGACACGGGCCAGACUCCUACGGGAGGCAGCAGUAGGGAAUCUUCGGCAAUGGGGGCAACCCUGACCGAGCAACGCCGCGUGGGUGAAGAAGGUUUUCGGAUCGUAAAGCUCUGUUGUAAGUGAAGAACGGGUGUGAGAGUGGAAAGUUCACACUGUGACGGUAGCUUACCAGAAAGGGACGGCUAACUACGUG